UACGUAGGCAGCAAGCGUUGUUCGGAAUUACUGGGCGUAAAGAGUGUGUAGGCGGUGUUCUAAGUUUGUCGUGAAAUCUCCCGGCUUAACUGGGAGGGUGCGGCGAAAACUGGAAUGCUAGAGGAUGGGAGAGGUAAGCGGAAUUCCUGGUGUAGCGGUGAAAUGCGCAGAUAUCAGGAGGAACACCGAUGGCGAAGGCAGGUCUCUGGGCAUUAACUGACGCUGAGGAGCGAAAGCGUGGGGAGCGAACAGG
rnacentral:rRNA from 1 species